rnacentral:tRNA from 1 species
UAGGUAGUAUAUUAUUACACCACCUUUUCGAGGUGGAGAAGAACAUUAGUUUUCUAGAUC